rnacentral:rRNA from 1 species
UGGGGAAUAUUGGACAAUGGGCGCAAGCCUGAUCCAGCUAUGCCGCGUGAAUGAAGAAGGCUUUCGAGUUGUAAAAUUCUUUUAGUGAAGAAGAAAAUGACUGUAUUCACAAAAAAGUCCCGGCUAACUCCGUGCCAGCAGCCGCGGUAAUACGGAGGGGGCUAACGUUGUUCGGAAUCAUUGGGCGUAAAGAGCACGUAGGCUGUUUAAUAAGUUAAGUGUGAAAAUCCCUGAGCUCAACUCAGGAACUGCAUUUAAAACUGUUAAACUAGAGUAUGAUAGAAGGUAAUGGAAUUUCUAGUGUAGAGGUGAAAAUUCGUAGAUAUUAGAAGGAACACCAAAGGCGAAGGCAAUUAUCCGGGUCAUUACUGACGUUGAGGUGCGAAAGCAUAGGUAGCAAACAGGAUUAGAUACCCUGGUAGUCUAUGCUGUAAAAUGAUGAGUGCUAGAUGUAGGUUUUUAUCUGUAUCGAAGCUAACGCGUUAAGCGCUCCGCCUGGGAAUUACGUAUCGCAAGAUUAAAACUCAAAUGAAUUGAC